ACAAAGGUUCAAGGAGAAGGAGAAAAGAUUCAAUCAGAAUCUGAAGGGUAACUUUUUCACACAAAGGGUAGUGGAUGCAUGGAACAAGCUGCCAGUGGAGGUAGUUGAGGCAGGGACUAUACCAAUGU